rnacentral:rRNA from 1 species
CCUACGGGAGGCAGCAGUGAGGAAUAUUGGUCAAUGGGCGUAAGCCUGAAUCAGCCCAGUAGCGUGAGGGAUGAAGGUUCUAUGGAUCGUAAACCUCUUUUAUAAGGGAAUAAAGUGUGGGACGUGUCCUGUUUUGUAUGUACCUUAUGAAUAAGGAUCGGCUAACUCCGUGCCAGCAGCCGCGGUAAUACGGAGGAUCCGAGCGUUAUCCGGAUUUAUUGGGUUUAAAGGGUGCGUAGGCGGCCUUUUAAGUCAGCGGUGAAAGUCUGUGGCUCAACCAUAGAAUUGCCGUUGAAACUGGGAGGCUUGAGUAUGUUUGAGGCAGGCGGAAUGCGUGGUGUAGCGGUGAAAUGCUGAGAUAUCACGCAGAACCCCGAUUGCGAAGGCAGCCUGCCAAGCCAUGACUGACGCUGAUGCACGAAAGCGUGGGGAUCAAACAGGAUUAGAUACCCCUGUAGUC